GCAACAACAGUACCAACUGUAAAGAACACCGUAUCAUGAUGCAUGACAAAACUUACAGCGCUAGAAAUAUCCUUCUUAGAAACAGCAUCAUCAGGGCUCUCUGACUCUGCUUUAAGCUUUGGUGCCGGUGCAGGUGCCGGUGGUGGAGGUUUAGGGGUAAAUAUAUCCAAAGGAAGGAGCACCUUGUCAACCUGAUAAAUAGCAAGAUGGGUGUCCGUGUAUACAGUGUCGGAAAUGGUGGUGUUGGUAAGUCCUGUAGAUAUGUUCAAGGAGUUCCCACUGGCGGUAACGUUAAGCUGAAACCUAGCACCAGAUCCAGCGUGUGUUUUUAAAGGGCUACUCACGGUAUCAAAUUGGGAAGAUGAGAUGAACAUAGGGACAAUGUGAAACUGCAUCAACUCGACCUUUUCUUGAUCAGUUAAGGUGCGGAGAGUGCCUGUUUUAAGGGCUGAAAAUGCACU
rnacentral:lncRNA from 1 species